UUUUUUUCUAGGGCCGCUCCCCCGGCAUAUGGAGGUUCCCAGGCUAGGGGUCCAGUCGGAGCUGUUGCCCCCGGCCUACACCAGAGCCUCAGCAAUGCGGGAUCUGAGCCACAUCUGCAACCUACACCACAGCUCAUAGCAACACAGGAUCCUUAACCCACUGAGCAAGGCCAAGGAUCGAACCCGCAACCUCAUGGUUCCUAGUCAGAUUCGUUAACCACUACGCCACGAUGGGAACUCCAAAAAUAUUUCUAUUAAAUAAGCAUAUUCACAAUUUUUAAAAUUUCUUAUGCAAUUACCUGGGUUAGAUAUGCACCUAGGAAGUUGGUCAAAUCAUUAGAUCAAAAAAGAAAAAUGUGUAAAUAUUGUCUUGAUUCAGAAUAAAUCAUGGUGAUGAAUAAAUCAGGAUACCAGACAGAUGCCAUUUAUCAAAUACCAAAUAUCAAGGCACAAUACUAAGCACUCUACAAAUAACAUUAUCUCAUUCUAUCCUUAUGAAAGGAAUGACUAUUUAUUUAAAAAUAGGACUUCCCUUGUGGUGCAGCAGGUUAAGGAUCUGGCAUUGUCAACUACAACAUCUUGAUUUGCUACAGUGACACAAGUUUGAUCCUUGCUCUGGGAACUUCCAGAUGCCAUAGAUGUGGCCAAAAAAAUAAAUAAAUAAAAGGUCUUAGAGGGAGUUCCCUGGUGGCUUGGCAGGUUAAGAAUCCAGGUCAGGGUGAUCACUGACCCUGGAACUUCUGUAUACCAUGGGCACAACCAAAAAAGAACUUUUUAAAUAAAGUCUUAGAAAAGUUAACUAAUUUGACCAGAGCAAUAAAUUAGGUCAGGAUUCAGACUAUACUGCCAUUGCUUAUAUAGCAGAGGCUCAACAGAAGAAAAUUCAAAAUCAAAUUAGCUAAUGAAUAAAACAGACUUAUUCAGGUAGGGUUUUUUGGGGUUUUUUUUUUUGGUGGAGGGGAGAAAGCAAGACAGCAUGAUGCAAAGGAAGUUUAAACAAAUAGAAAGAAUUUAGGGAACUGCUUGUGGAUUUUCACUGAUUUGAGAAUUCCAUGUUCCGAGUUGGUGGCCCAUGGCAUAAUUAUCUAUGAUAAACCAGUCUUUUCCUCCAGUUAUCGGUGGCCUAGUUUUCUGAUGACUUUUUCUUAAUAUUGAGUGUUUCCAAAUUUUAUUUAUUUAUUUAUUUAUUGCUUUUUUAGGGCCGCACCCACAGCAUAUGGAGGUUCCCAGGCUAGGGGUCUGAUCGGAGCUACAGCUGCCAACCUACGCCACAGCCACAGAAAUGCCAGAUGCAAGCCAUGUCUGCAGACUACACCACAGCUCAUGGCAAUGCAGGAUCCUUACCCACUCAGUGAGGCUAGAGAUCGAACUUGCAACCUUAUGGUUCCUAGUUGGAUUGUUUCCACUACGCUACGAUGGGAACUCCUCAAAUUUAUUUUAUAUGUUAUUCUUUACAUGAACCUUGUGAAGAAAGCAGGCCCAAAUGGCAUCACUUUAUAGAUUAAAAUACUCAGGCGCACAGUGUUUAGCUGAUCACUUUCACAUCCUACAAAACAAAAUUGGAAAAUCAAGGAUGAAAAUUUGAUUGUUAUGGAACUGCUAGACCUCGACUUUUAUCUCACCCAUAGUGUCCCCACAGAGAAGAAGAAAAUAUUCUUGUACAAAAUAACCCUCUAAAUGUAGAGGAGAGCUAGAGAAACUGGGUCGAAAGGAAAAUCUGAAGAAAUGAUUGUUCUGAAGAAAACCAAGCCCUUGGUUCUGAGACCAAAGGAAAUGGAUUGAAACCUGGGUACAAUAAAGUGUACAUCUCAGGAACAAUGUUUACAGAUGAGACAGCUAUAAAAUGGUACUGGAGAGGGCCCAACACCCAAAACACCGUAGGGGACCCGCCUGGUCACACUAUGCACAGAGACAGCCCUCCAGCUCUGGCUCCUAUGACCGAGUCUGAACUCAGAGGAGGCACUUGACCUCUCUAUACCUUGGUGUCCCCACAUACAAGACGGGAUGCUUACAGAUAAAUCACAAGGUUGCACAAGUGCACCUCUUAUUUUAUUUAUUUAUUUAUUUAUUUAUUUGCUUUUUAGAGCCACACCUGCAGUACAUGGAAGUUCCCAGGCUAGGGCUUGAAUCGGAGCUACAGCUGCCAACCUGUACCACAGCCAUAGCAACUCGGGAUCCAAGCCAAGUCUGUGAACUACACCACAGCUCACAGCAACACCGGAUCCUUAACCCACUGAGUGAGGCCGGGAAUCGAACCCACAUCCUCAUGGAUACUAGUCUGGUUCGUUGUCACUGAGCCACAAUGGCAACUCCAGUGCACCCCUUGGUUUAAAUGGCACAGGUUUAGAACAGCCUACAGGAAAAAACAUUAAAGAAUCAAAACUUUUUGGCUUCCUGAAGCUUUAAGCCCACAAGAAUAUUAUAGAAAUAUCUGAGUUCUAGAACUCCAGAAGAAAAUCCACUAUCCUACAUAGACUCUCUAAAACAUGAAUUUGGAGGGAUCUGGAAUAGAGGGAAAACAUACACUCAUAGAGUCAGUAGGAAAUGGUUUGACAUAACCUGCUCAGUAGAGGAAAGAAAUGCAAAAGUUAAAUAAGGGAGGCAAGAAUGUUGGUAGUCCAUCUGUAACCCUGCAUUUAAUACAUAGAAUUAUAUUAUCUGGUCCGUUGUAACAUUCUAAAUAUAUAUAUAUAUACAAAUAUAAAUAUAUAUCCAUAUAUAGUAUAUGCUUUCUAUUUUUCCAUAUAUAUUUAUUCAUAUUUUUGUGUACAAACACACACUAAAAUAUCUUUUGGCGACAUCCCUAAGAAUGCAAUCUUUUCUGGAAUGCCUCCAUUACCAACGAUGGUGGUUUUGGCAUUUCAUUGAAUUUUCGCAUUCUCUCAAUACGAUGCAUAUUGAGUCUAAAUAGCCCAGGACAUUCAAUGAAUCUUUAUUAUUUUGUCCUCCAUACUGUUCACACCACAUUCUCAACAAUAAAAGUAUUGUGCAUGAAUCCAACAGUCAUUUAAAAGGUGUGUAUCACCAACAGAUUUAAGUGAUUUACUGGAUCUGAUGUUAUUCAAUAGGAACAUUUCAGUCAAACUGAAAAGACCAGCUUUAUUCUUUUCAUUUUCAGAAUUCAUUAAUUUUAAUGACAUUUAGAAAUGCAGAAUGACCACAGCAUUGAGCCACUAAUUCUUCUGAAAUAUGAAUUUUCAAAAUUAGCAUUUGAAGAGGAAACUAUCACUAUCACACAGAAACCUUUAUUGGAGGUCUUGGGUGGCUGAAGCAGAGUCUGAAUUAUUUUUACAACACAUAAAGAGGCAUAGCAAAGUUAUCCCUACAAGGAUUCAUGGCUAAUUAAAAAUUUCAAAUUGUAUAAUCUGGAAAUUAGUGUUUGCAGCAAAAUCAGCCACUCAACCUUGAACAUGGCAUUCUGCGUGUGCAGCUAUAAUGAGCUGUUUUUGUGCGGUGUGUGGUCCUUGACAUUUGUCAUAAUCCUCAGACCACCCAAAUAUAGCAAUCUGCUAUUUGGAAGACACCCUACAAGUUUCUCUUUCCUCUUCUUAAGGCCGUAUUUUUAAAGAGCCAUCAGUUAUCCGAAGCCUUCACUCAUCGUGCUAAUGGCUUCUAUAAAUACUCUGACAGAUCAUUCUUCUCUAAAUUGUCCAGCAAAGAAAGGAUAAGAAACGCAUCCUCAGAGGCUAUGGAGGGGCAUGAGCCUACUUCUCACCUCUGGUGAACAUGCCAAGAAAGCCACUGAGGACCCUACCCACUAGAAUUCCUUGUGUGCAAAAAUGCACAAGAAAUCCCAGUUUAAAAAGUGAUUAAAAAUGGGAGGCGGCAAUGAUUCUCCUGAACAUUUUUUUAGCCUUUCACAUCAUAAAGUUUAAAUGUGACUUAUCAUAAGAUUUCUUCAAGGACUCUAUUGAAAUGGAAGGUAUCAGUUUUAUCAUCCCCUUGAAUAAAGCCAACCCUUGGAAUAAGGUAAUCAGUUUUCAUCAUUGGUCAAAUUUCAACACCUACGCUCUCUUUUAUUCAGAAUAAAACUUGGAGUUCCAGCAAUCAUUUAAAAUCUAAGUUUAGGGAGUUCCCACUGUGGUCCAUUGAGUUAAUGAACUGGCAUUGCCACAGCUGUGGCAUAGGUUGCAGCUGCAACUCAGAUUCGAUCUCUGGCCCAGGAACUUCGAUCUGUCUCAGGUGCAGCAAAAAAAUAAUAAUGAUAAUAAAAUAAAACAAAACCUGAGUUUACAAGUCAUAGGUAAACACUACUUCUGAAUUCUACCUACUUUAUGGCAAUCUUCUCAACAAUAAGCAAUAAAAGAGUGGCAAAUGCAAACCAACAUUUGACAAUGAUUAGAGUGAACAUCUAAUUCAUCAUCUUAACUUCUGAGAUUGAAAUGGUGUGCUAUUAGUAAUUAUUAUAAUCAUUAACAGAGUUAUAAAUCCUAAUUAAUAUCAUUAUGAUAAUGAUUGCAAGACAGGAAGCGUAAACCAACACUGUCCCUCCUGAUGACCAAGUAGGCACUAGGCUGAGUCCAAGAUGUGCUUUGCUUCUGCUUUAAUUAUUUCACACUCACCACAUGGAUAUAUAACAGGUAUCAUUAUCCCUGUUUGACAGAUGAGAAAACUAAGUCUCAGAAAAAUUAAGUAAUUUAGUAGAUCAAGGAGCUGGGAUUUGAACACAGCUGCCCAUCUGGCUCAAAGCCUGAGCCUUUCCUGCUUUGUUGCUGUUGCUUUGAGUUACAAAAUAAUGUCCCUCUCCUCUUGAUAGCUGACAAAGAAGGAGUGUGCUACUCUUAUGUUCUCUUUCUCUGUAAGUAAAUAUAAGUAUAGCUACAGAAAAUAAACAUUGGUUAGAAGUCAAAGAGAUGGAAGACAAUUCUAGAAAAGAAGAUAAAUUUGGAAUUUUAAAAAUCCUUCUAAACCAAGUGACAAUAUUCACUUCCAGUUCAGUAGAACUAUUUUGGGGUUCCCCUGAGAAAUCAUUCUUCCCUUUGGAAGUUAAGGCCUCUAGACCAGCAGAGCCUUAAGUAGCAGUGACAGGAAGUACAACUUUCAGUAGUGGAUAUUGUGGGGUUGUAAUGAGCAAAGACACUCCUGUUUUCACCCCUUCAUUCCCAGAUGGGUGACUAUGGGAGGAAUAGCACUGUGUAUUGGAUGCCAAGUGAGAUCAUAUUUUGCCUCCGGGAGAACACUGUCCCACCCCAUGUGGCAUUGUCACCUAAUUGAUACCAUAACUCACUGUAUCAAAGGCUACUCCAACAUUUUACAAGCAAGCUGCUUCCUGAUGGUGGUGAACACAGUUAAGACCAGAGAAGUCCAUGGGCAUGGACCCCCUGGCUCCAUAUAAGUAUAAUUUGUUCCUUGCUGGGAAGUGCUAAUGUGUCAGAUGCUAUGACAUGGGUAAGGCAGACUAUGAGUUCACAAAUGGUGGGUUUUCCAGAAGCAUUGGAGGCAAGAGAAGCAAGUCCACACCCAGUGUGAUAAUCUAUUCCAGCAAGAAUGAAAUGCAGCCCCUUCCUCGAUGGAAGUGCUGCAGCUUAAUUAUCCUGCCACCACGUGGUUGGCCGAUCCCCUGGGGAAGUGUGUCCCAUUGCAGGCUCUGCGCUGGUCUCUGCGCUGGCAGAUGGAGCAUUCAGCAGGAGCUGCAGCCAUCUAGCCUCGGUGAGCAGACAUCUAUUUUGCUGAGCCCAUGUGCGCCCUUGAUCCCUGCCACCAUGGCCACUUGGGCAAGAUGAGGUACCUGGGGAAGGGAGACCCAUAUCAACAAAACAAAUCCUAUCAUCCAGUUCUGCUGAGGUCACAAGAGACACAGCUCUCAUAUACUCUGGGACCAUUUGUAGAGAUUUAUCCACAUAUUUUCCCCAGAUGUCAUUGUCACCAAUUUUCCAAUUGCAUCCCUUCCAACUCCCUAGUUCUGAGUUAGGACAAGAAAGCCAGGUCCCUCCAUCCCAUGCCGAUCAGUCAUUAGAAGGAGAUAUAUACUCCAAGGAGGGCAGUGGU
rnacentral:lncRNA from 1 species